rnacentral:rRNA from 1 species
GAUGAACGCUGGCGGCGUGCCUAACACAUGCAAGUCGAGCGAUUCUCCUCGGAGAAGAGCGGCGGACGGGUGAGUAACGCGUGGGUAACCUGCCCUGUACACACGGAUAACAUACCGAAAGGUAUGCUAAUACGAGAUAAUAUACUUUUAUCGCAUGGUAGAAGUAUCAAAGCUUUUGCGGUACAGGAUGGACCCGCGUCUGAUUAGCUAGUUGGUAAGGUAACGGCUUACCAAGGCGACGAUCAGUAGCCGACCUGAGAGGGUGAUCGGCCACAUUGGAACUGAGACACGGUCCAAACUCCUACGGGAGGCAGCAGUGGGGAAUUUUGGACAAUGGGCGCAAGCCUGAUCCAGCCAUUCCGCGUGCAGGAUGAAGGCCUUCGGUUGUAACUAGCUUUGUACGGAACGAAACGGACGAGCUCUAAUACAGUUGUCUAAUGACGGUACCGUAAGAAUAAGACACCGGCUAACUACGUGCCAGCAGCCGCGGUAACUAGUCUACG